rnacentral:lncRNA from 1 species
CCCAGUCGGCUGACACAAGCGCCGCCACGCGUGCAUCCAGAGCGUGCUCGAGCGCACACGGCCCCCGCCUGCACCCGCACACGUGCGCACGCCCGCGCCCGACGCCCGCAGAUCGCUGAGGCCGGGAGCAGGCGCGGAGUCCGGAACCGCCGCCUCGGGCGACCCCGCCGGAUGGACCGGGGCCCGAGCCACAGGCACACUCACAGAGCAAGGGUGGACCCUCACAGAUAGAGGGGAACCUAAAGACUACCAAGCACCCCCUCCUGCCAGCCACCUUACAGAAGCCUCAGGAAGUAAGGUCAGACC